CGUGUGCAUGCACACUUCUUCAGAUGAAGUGUGCAUGCACACAAAAGCUCAUACCAAUGACAAACUUAGUUGGUCUCUAAGGUGCUACUGGAAGGAUUUUUUUUUAGCUUGGGGCAGUCACGCAACCCACCCCACAAAAAAUAAAUGGUCAUUUAAGUUGGCUCUCUUGAGUCCAACUCUUUUCAUGCUACCUGGAUUAAAUCAGCAGUGGACAGUUUCCUAAAAUGUGCAUCUGUUGGCCGGAAUUUAUAUAGAAUGGGAUAUUGGGAGUUUGGGGUUGUAUGCAGGAAGAGAAAGGCAGGGCAGGGAAGAAUCUGGGCAGCCCAAGAUGGGCCCAGAGCUCUUUUGUUGGCUCUCUUGGCCUAAAGUCCUGGGGGCUGUUUUCAUACGGCUUUUCUUUCAUUCCAGAAUCCCCUUUGGUUUUGUGGUUUUAGAAUUAACAGCCCGUUUCUGCUGUGGGCCUAGACCUGCCAACUCCAGAGCCUGAAAGGGAAUAUCUGUGCCAGGAUUUUAAUGACCAACCGAGAUCAGAAUCAAAAGUGCCAAUGGUUCUUUAUCUGUUCUUUUUCCUUUUUUUGCAAAACCAUGAAGGCAAAUGACGCCAACAAUUCCUUGCACAGAUGCUGCCUUGCAUAGGAUGAAAGAACUUGUAUAGCUGUGAAAGAGAGAGAGAGAGAGAGAGCAUUUUUGCAGAUAUGUGGAACCAGACGGGUGUUUUUGUCUAGGCUGUUUGUUCCCCUUAUCUCCAAUGCCCAUUUCCAUCAAGUGAUCUCCAGCAAUAUGCUACAGUUUGCAUGCAUGCCUUGCCCGCUUCCAUAAAUGCUGUUGGGACAACAGUUGCCUUUGUUGGCGUGAGGAGGAAGCUGCUGGGCCAGCUGCUUGCUCAUGAGUAGCCCAACCAAUAAUCAGCUCAGCCCAUCUGGUCUGCAGGUGGACAAGGAUGGAGUUGAUGAGAGGCUGCAGGCUUCCAGAUUCCUCUUAGUGGCUUAUAAACCCUCAGAGGGAAUCAGGAACAUAGGGAGCUGCCCAAUAGGAAGUCAGACCACUGGUAUGUUGUGUAGUAGCUCAGUUGGUAGAGCAUGGGACUCUUAAUCUCGGGGUUGUGGGUUUGAGCCCCACGUUGGGCAAAAGAUUCCUGAGCUCUGACCCCUGCCUAGCAGAUAUUGGUCAAGUACAGACUUUUAAAUGAUGGCAUGUCUCUUCCACCCCCCCCACCCCCUUUUGUUGCUGUCAGUCAUAAGUGGUUUAAGUGUAUUUUAUUAAAUGCAGUGGUUUGGUGGUAUUUUGGUGGUUGGUGCCUCCCCCCUUUCUUUUGAGAUGCUGAGUGAAUUUGAGCAAAUAAACGCACCAUCGAGACAAAUUGCUCUGUUUUCAAAAGAACCCUUCACAGUUGUUGUAGAUUUUAAAGUGGGAAGCACUGAACAAACACGCAAUCCCGCGAUUUAGACUUCAUAAUCACAGGUCCAUAGCAAAGUGCAAAUGGUUUUCCUUUCCUUUGCAGCCCCCCCCCUUUAAAGCGCACCUCCCCCCCCCUCUAAAUGCAUAGGGUUCUGUGGGGUACCGGUAUAUAAGAAAGGAAAAUGUUUAAAAGCAAAGCUAAACCUGCCCUCAACUGUAUCCCCCUGCCCUGUUGCCCACGAAGCCGCGUGGUUUUAAUUUGGCACAAAAUUGCACCGAAGCCUAAAGAAAGUAUAGAUUAUCCGGCAUCCACAUUUUAACGACUUCCGAGCAUCACAUUUAGGAAUUUCCAGUAGAAGUGGCUCAGUCUCCAAGGGAACAAACAAUAUCCAUUCUCAUUUAGACGUCCCUCGGGGCUGCUCUGCACCUGUUUUCCUACCUAGAAGUGGUAUUUGUAGAGAAACUGUGCACAUCAUUAGCACGUGACUUACGCGUCAUUCCCCUUUAGAAAAGCAGAGUGGCUUGUUGCAAAGUAACAUGCUUUUAGGGUCGUUGCCCUGAUUUUUGAGCAGGUGUCUUGCGUGUGAAUGUGGGAGAAUUGGGACGGGGAAAGAUAGGCCAAAGAGGGUUUUUCAAACACAUUGGGGGACGCUUUUUGAAAAAUUGCUCACCCCCCCCCCAUUUAUUAAAGGGUCCUCCGAAACCCACAGGGGUCUAGGACUGUGCAGGUCGUGACUGUAGAGAUCUAUGCAUGCUCAGCGCCUUAUCACCAGGUGCACUGGGAUUCAGGUGCAAUGGUGAGCAAUUGCUUGCAUCCUAGCCUGUGUCCAGAACACAGGGAAGGGAGUGAAGACAUGUUAUUAUUUUUCUGUAUAGGCCCAUCGGUCUGCUGGUUCCUGCCCCAAGGAGCUUACAAUUUAAAAGUUGUCGUAGGGAAAUGACAGUAGUGGUAGACUCCCCUCCCUUGCAGGAUUUUAAGCAGAGGUGGGAUGACGCACCUGUCCUGUAUGAUUCCUGCAUUGCAGGGGGUUGGACUUGGGUAAAGAUUUGAUGGUGAAUAUGUUUCACACACUUAUGCUUGAGCAAGGUUAUUUCAGUGCGUUCAUCAGAAUGCAUAGGAAGCUGCACUAUAUGGAGUCAGUCUAGCACAAUGUUGUUUGCACUGACUGGCAGCAGCAGCUACCUGAGAUUUCAGACAAGGAGUCUUUUCCAACCAUACCUGGAGACACCAGGGAUUGAAACCUGCAUAUUUUGUGGGUGAGGCGUGUCAUAACCUUUCCCACAAGUGCUGUGUUACAGAGACCUUGUUGAGUUAUACUCAGGCAUCCCUAAGAUUUGGGUGUUUUUUUAGUUAAAAUAAGUCUGCAAUCUGACAACAGUGAUUUUGAACUGAUGCACACACUAUGCAUUUCAAAUAAAACAUAGUUGCAGAUUGCAUUGCAUUGCAGUGCAGAAAAGGAAUGAUGGUGAAAGAAAGCUUUGCAGAAGUAGCUAGAUGCUCCACAAAUAAAUUCCCAGUUGGAACGCAGAGUUCCUUUUCUCUCUGAAAGGUAUCACAGAGUGCUUCUCCUUGCUGCAAGCUCACAAGAUAAAUCUAUUUCACAAAUCUAACGGUGCAGCUCAAUUUUUAGCCAUCUUCUUAGAUCUUUUAAGGAGUCUGAAAGGUCUUUUUAUGUUCUACUUGCCAAUUGUAGUCUGGCAGUAUCCAAGCCCAUGCCAGUGUCGUCUUUCCAGAUCUCGUAACAGCAUAACCACGGGAUUCAGAAUGAGCCACGAGGGCUGUGCUCCCCCUCCACUGUUGAAGUCAGUAUGCAUCUGAAUGCCAGCGGCUUGGAACUGCAGGUUUUAGCUGAGAUCCCUGCAUUGCAGGGGGUUGGCCUAGAUGACCCUCGGGGUCCCUUCUAACUCUACAAUUCUAUGAUUUUAUGAAAGUGCUCAGGUCCUGGUUUUGGCCUUCCCAGAGGCCACUGGGCUAAUCCACCAGGCUCCUCUUGGUUCACAGCUUGGGCGAGGGGGCUCCUUGAUCCAUUUUGGUGGCUAGAGGCCCAAAUGAGCUCUAUGGCUAGGAGUGCCUUCUAACAACUUCAGCCGGCCUGCCAGCAACAACCAUUCCUUGUACAGGAUAGCCUGAUCUUCGUGGUCCAUGCAUUGGUUACUUCAAGACUUGAUUACUGUAAGACACACUGUGUAGGGCUGCCCUUGGAAGCUGUAACUGAUGAACCUUGGAAGCUGUAACUGGCGACACAUCACUCCUUUGCUGAGAGAGCUGUGCUUCUGGACCUGGUUCCGUUUCCUUGUGUAUAAUUCACAAAGCUUGAUCUCAGGAUCGUGCAAAAGGUUUCUGCAUUGCAGGCGGUUGGACUAGGUGACCCUCGUGGUCCCUUCCAACCUUCCAAUUCUAUAAUUAAUUCUGCAACGUGGGCCCAAAGUAUCUCAAAAGUAACCUGAUUCUUUGGGGCUCCACCUCAGUUGCUGAGAUCUCCUGAUGGGGCACUUUUGGUAAUCCUGCUUUUGUGGCAGGUGUGCCCUGUGGAACUCCUUGCCAGGGGAAGUAUGGCCAGAGUUAAUCCCUGCCUUCUUUUACAUGUCUUUUGAAAACUGUAUUAUUUAGACAGGGCUUUGAAGCAGGAGUCCCCCCCCCCCACCUUUAAACCAACUAACCUUUAUAGGUGUUUAUAUUUACCGGUAUGUUACUGAAAUGUUGUGUUUUAUGUUACUGGCUGCCUUGUUAUAUUUUUUAUGAAACUGCUGUAUACAUAUUUGAAUAGGUAGAAGGUUCCCUGUUUUUUCUGUAAUAUUUUUCUCCUCAACUCCCCAAAUGUGGGAUUUCUUUUUUU